rnacentral:rRNA from 1 species
ACGUAGGGGGCAAGCGUUGUCCGGAAUUACUGGGCGUAAAGGGCACGCAGGCGGCUCGGUCAGUCAGAUGUGAAAGUUUGCAGCUUAACUGUAAAAGUGCAUUUGAUACUGCCGGGCUUGAGUCUCGGAGAGGUAAGCGGAAUUCCUAGUGUAGUAGUGAAAUGCGUAGAGAUUAGGAAGAACACCGGCGGCGAAGGCGGCUUACUGGACGAGUACUGACGCUCAGGUGCGAAAGCGUGGGGAGCAAACAG